AGGACGAACGCUGGCGGCGUGCUUAACACAUGCAAGUCGAGCGAGGCCCUUCCUUCGGGAAGGUGCCCUAGCGGCGAACGGGUGAGUAACACGUGGGCAACCUGCCCCUAGCACUGGGAUAAGCCCGGGAAACCGGGUCUAAUACCGGAUAUGACCUUCGAGGGCAUCCUUGAAGGUGUAAAGGAUUCUGGCUAGGGAUGGGCCCGCGGCCUAUCAGCUUGUUGGUGGGGUAAUGGCCUACCAAGGCGACGACGGGUAGCCGGCCUGAGAGGGCGACCGGCCACACUGGGACUGAGACACGGCCCAGACUCCUACGGGAGGCAGCAGUGGGGAAUCUUGCACAAUGGGCGAAAGCCUGAUGCAGCGACGCCGCGUGAGGGAUGACUGCCUUCGGGUUGUAAACCUCUUUCAGCAGGGACGAAGCGAAAGUGACGGUACCUGCAGAAGAGCACCGGCCAACUACGCGCCAGCAGCCGCGGUAA
rnacentral:rRNA from 1 species